rnacentral:rRNA from 1 species
UACGAAGGGGGCUAGCGUUGCUCGGAAUCACUGGGCGUAAAGGGUGCGUAGGUGGUGAGGUAAGUCGGAUGUGAAAGCUCGGAGCUCAACUCCGAAAUGGCAUUGGAAACUACCUUGCUCGAGGGUUGGAGGGGGGACUGGAAUACUUGGUGUAGCAGUGAAUGCGUAGAUAAUCGAAGUGGAACACCAGUGGCGAAGGCGAGUCCCUGGACAACUCCUGACACUGAGGCACGAAGGCUAGGGGAGCAAACAGG